rnacentral:rRNA from 1 species
UACGUAGGGUGCAAGCGUUGUCCGGAUUUAUUGGGUUUAAAGGGUGCGUAGGCGGUACAUUAAGUCAGUGGUGAAAUUUGGUUGCUUAACAAUCACAGUGCCAUUGAUACUGAUGAACUUGAGAGAAGUGGAGGCUUUUGGAAUGGAUGGUGUAGCGGUGAAAUGCAUAGAUAUCAUCCAGAACACCGAUUGCGAAGGCAGGAGGCUGUACUUUAUCUGACGCUGAGGCACGAAAGCGUGGGGAUCAAACAGG